GCGCAGCAGUCGCGAAUCUUCCCCAAUGGACGAAAGUCUGAGGGAGCGACGCCGCGUGAAUGAAGAAGCCCUUCGGGUGUAAAUUCUUUCUUUAGGAAAAUUCGUGAUGGUACUAAAGGAAUAAGGGGCCGCCAAACUCGUGCCAGCAGGCGGCGGUAAUACGAGUGCCCCGAGCGUUAUCCGGAAUUACUGGGCCGUAAAGCGCUAAAAGGCGGUUUGAUAAGUCAGACGUCAAAUCUCCGAGCUCAACUCGGAGCCGGUGUCUGAGACUGUCUAACUUGAGGACGGAA
rnacentral:rRNA from 1 species